rnacentral:rRNA from 1 species
AAGUCGAGCGGAAAGGCCCCUUCGGGGGUACUCGAGCGGCGAACGGGUGAGUAACACGUGAGCAACCUGCCCCUGACUCUGGGAUAAGCCCGGGAAACUGGGUCUAAUACCGGAUAUGACCACUCCAGGCAUCUGGUGGUGGUGGAAAGUUUUUCGGUUGGGGAUGGGCUCGCGGCCUAUCAGCUUGUUGGUGGGGUGAUGGCCUACCAAGGCGACGACGGGUAACCGGCCUGAGAGGGCGACCGGUCACACUGGGACUGAGACACGGCCCAGACUCCUACGGGAGGCAGCAGUGGGGAAUAUUGCGCAAUGGGCGGAAGCCUGACGCAGCGACGCCGCGUGGGGGAUGACGGCCUUCGGGUUGUAAACCCCUUUCAGCAGGGACGAAGCUAACGUGACGGUACCUGCAGAAGAAGCGCCGGCUAACUACGUGCCAGCAGCCGCGGUAAUACGUAGGGCGCAAGCGUUGUCCGGAAUUAUUGGGCGUAAAGAGCUCGUAGGCGGUUUGUCGCGUCUGUCGUGAAAGCCCACGGCUUAACCGUGGGUCUGCGGUGGAUACGGGCAGACUAGAGGCAGGUAGGGGAGAAUGGAAUUCCCGGUGUAGCGGUGAAAUGCGCAGAUAUCGGGAGGAACACCGGUGGCGAAGGCGGUUCUCUGGGCCUGUACUGACGCUGAGGAGCGAAAGCGUGGGGAGCGAACAGGAUUAGAUACCCUGGUAGUCCACGCCGUAAACGUUGGGCGCUAGGUGUGGGGUUCUUCCACGGAUUCCGCGCCGUAGCUAACGCAUUAAGCGCCCCGCCUGGGGAGUACGGCCGCAAGGCUAAAACUCAAAGGAAUUGACGGGGCCCGCACAAGCGGCGGAGCAUGUUGCUUAAUUCGACGCAACGCGAAGAACCUUACCAAGGCUUGACAUCGCCGGA